UCCCGCUCGUAUAAAAGGCGGUGACGGGAGAUUGGGGAGAGAGAUAGAGCGGGACUAGACGGAGAAUCAUCGGCCUUUCUCUGCGACGAUCGAAAGGGAUGGGAAGGGGGAAGAUCGUGAUCAGGAGGAUCGACAACUCGACUAGCCGUCAGGUGACGUUCUCGAAGCGCAGGAAUGGAUUGCUGAAGAAGGCGAGGGAGUUAGCGAUCCUUUGCGACGCCGAUGUGGGCCUCAUCAUCUUCUCCAGCACGGGGAAGCUCUAUGAUUUUGCUAGUUCCAGUAUGAAAGGAAUAAUCGAUCGAUACAACAAAUCGAGAGAAGAAAAUCAACAAGAUACGACUUCAACAGCAGAAACCAUGCUAUGGCAGAGAGAGGCAGCAAACUUAAAGCAGCAGUUAAUGAGCUUACAAGAAAACCACAGGCAGCUAAUGGGGGAAGAGUUAUCAGGUUUGAAUAUCAAAGACCUUCAGAACCUAGAAAUCCAACUAGAAAUGAGCUUGCGUGAAGUUAGAAGGAAGAAGGUGCUACACUCAUUUCAAAAUAGAAAAAUUGUUUCGCAAAGUCCAGAAAUUGAUAUUCUAAACCCUAAUUACCUUUUCUUUUGUCACGUUUCAGGACCAACUCUUCACAGAUGAAAUAGAGGAGCUCAAUCGAAAGGUUUAAAUAACUUAUCUGUGCUUGUAUGUACAUUUAAGGGUCUUUUGGCAGCAAGAACGCCCUGUCAGUGUACCACGAAUCAGCCCCAACAUUAGGGCAGAUUCAUGAAAUAUUAAUACUAAUGUUCCAUGAAUCUGCCCCAAUCUUUGAGGCAGAUCCAUGGGACACACAUAGAAUGCCCCUGCUGCCAAACGACCCCUUAGUGGUCAAGGACAGUUUGCUAAUAAGUACUGAUGAAAUUGCAGGGUCAACUCAUUCAUCAGGAGAAUAUGGAAUUGUACAGAAAGGUAUCUCUGUAUUUCAAAGGUGAAUGGUAUAAAUAGAUGCAGCUGACUUCUCAGAUUUGUUGACUUCAGGUUUACAGAGCAAAGGCAUUAACUGGAACCAAUCGGAGUUUAUUACUUACCAAUGGCUUUAGCUUUGAAGAUGAUCUGCACAUGCCUAUUAGUCUCCAACUAAGCCAGCCCCAACCACAACAAGAAACAUCAACCAAGGCUAUGAAAUUGCGGUAGCAACUACAUUGAACCAAGUGGACGAGGAAGGGGAGGAGGUUGCUCAUUUGUCAUCUGAAAUUCUCAAGCCUCCACAUUCCCAAACAGCUCCCAGAACACACAGGAAGACUUUGCAACUCAAAGAUGAUGGGAACUGACAAGCAUAAGCAUCUUUGAUCCAUGUAAGAUAUGUAGAAAACUAAGAAACCAUUAUCUCAUGCAUUUCAGACAGCAACUUCAUGACCAUCAGACAUAUUGUUGAUAAAGGUUUCAGAUUGAUGACUAUCCAUUUACUCUUUCUCAAUUUUUUUCAAGUGCACAAAAGGGAUUCAUUGGCAUAAAAAUAAGCAAUGCUUUGGUUGUUUCAUGCGAACCAUGUUACCAAAACAAUGAACAAACACAAAAUAGUACGUUAGGAAAGAAUCACCUGAUACAAAAAGAAUUUAAUGUCUUAAACAUACAUGCAGGUUUAUAAUCCACAGGGAUCGACCCAAUACAUCACUAAUAUCAGGUGUAAAAGAAUCGGACCAGAGCUUGAUGCAAUAAAGUGUUGACCAUUUGUUUGCACAUUUAAUUACACUUCAAAAGCUAAAUUCUAAAGUUUGUGUUCCAAAUUCUAAUCAUACAUUGCAGUAUCAUGUUCAACAACCCAGAGACACAGGAUUAGAUUAGUUUCGUCAAAAAAAGCACCGAAAUAUACCAAAAAGAGUACAAAUGCUAUGUCAUGUCCCAUGCCUAUCAGCCUAUGUGGGGCAAUGUUGCCAUGGGUACCCUCAACUGAUCAGCCAUGUCCACGUUACAUAUGUAAUAUAUUGUAUGACACCCUAUGUUACAUACAACAUCGUUUCAAUGUCAUAUGCCAACAAAUAUCAGGCCUCUUUACAAAAACGAAAGAUGACAGGUAAGAAACAACCUUCAUGUAACUUUGCCCAUUUAUGAUCUCACAUGCUGACAUGCAAAUGCAGCCACUUUUACAUGCCAUAUUAAUGUUGUUAGACAACUUCAUUCAAAAUCAAUAGUGUCCAUUAGAUGCACGAAACAAUUGGUGCUGGUAUCACCUGAUUGUGGUGAUACAGAAGUAACAGAACCAUGGCACAUUUUCUCCAUGCAUGCAUUGCAAGCUUUAAUAGCUUUAUCCAAUAAUAAAUGAAAAUAAAUGAACAAGUUUCUAGAAGAAACAAAAGGUUGAAGGGAUGAUGUAGAUAG